GGGGGUAUAACUCAGUUGGUAGAGUGCUUGCCUCACAUGCACAAGGCCUGGGUUCAAUCCCCAGCACCACAU
rnacentral:tRNA from 1 species